UACGAAUGGGGCUAGCGUUGUUCGGAAUCACUGGGCGUAAAGCGCACGCAGGCGGAUCGAUAAGUCGGGGGUGAAAGCCCGGGGCUCAACCUCGGAAUUGCCUUCGAUACUGUCGGUCUCGAGUCCGGGAGAGGUGAGUGGAAUUCCUAGUGUAGAGGUGAAAUUCGUAGAUAUUAGGAAGAACACCAGUGGCGAAGGCGGCUCACUGGCCCGGUGCUGACGAUCAGGUGCGAAAGCGUGGGGAGCAAACAGG
rnacentral:rRNA from 1 species